rnacentral:rRNA from 1 species
CAGCCGCCGCGGUAAUACGGAGGGUGCAAGCGUUAAUCGGAAUUACUGGGCGUAAAGCGCACGCAGGCGGUCUGACAAGUCAGAUGUGAAAUCCCCGGGCUUAACCUGGGAACUGCAUCCAAAACUGGCAAGCUAGAGUACGGUAGAGGGUGGUGGAAUUUCCUGUGUAGCGGUGAAAUGCGUAGAUAUAGGAAGGAACACCAGUGGCGAAGGCGACCACCUGGACUGAUACUGACACUGAGGUGCGAAAGCGUGGGGAGCAAACAGGAUUAGAUACCCCAGUAGUCCCUGUCUCUUAUAC